UGUCGAGAUAGAACCCUUGCCUUUUUGAGUACCUUUCUGUUUCCUCGGCAGGCUCGCCUGCCAAUGGGGACCCCAAUAAACACUUUGUAGUACCUGUAACUGUCUGAAAAACAAACAAAUAAUUAAAACUUUCAACAACGGAUCUCUUGGUUCUGGCAUCGAUGAAGAACGCAGCGAAAUGCGAUAAGUAGUGUGAAUUGCAGAUUUCAGUGAAUCAUCGAAUCUUUGAACGCACAUUGCGCCCUUUGGUAUUCCUUAGGGCAUGCCUGUUCGAGCGUCAUUUAAACCUUCAAGCUCAGCUUGGUGAUGGGUGACUGUCCGCUGCCUCCCCCCGGGGUGCGCCGCGGACUCGCCUCAAAUUUAUUGGCGGCCGGUACGUUGGCUUCGAGCGCAGCAGAAACGCGUAACUCGAGGUCUCCGUGGCGGCUCCCACAAGCAACCUUCAUUAUUUUGACCUCGGAUCAGGUAGGGAUACCCGCUGAACUUAA
rnacentral:rRNA from 1 species